rnacentral:lncRNA from 1 species
UGCACAGGUAGUAAGGUCAGGUCAUGAAUCCAACUUCUCUGACUCCAAAGUCCAGUGCUCUUUCCAUUACAAAACAAUUGUUUAAUGCACUUAAGGGUUUUUUAAAAAGUAUUCAUCAAGCCUACUAUUGAAUAUAUGAAUAUCAAGUUUGUACAAUAUUUUUAUUACAGCUUUAAGUGGCUUAUUCACAGUAAAUACAACAAUGAUACUUUGGGGAAAGAAGAUAGAGUGAGGCAGCUUGUCCAGGACAAAUGAGGAAUACUUUUUAAAAUGAUUUCUAGCGGACUUCAUUGUGAAUAGUGUUACUGAUCAAUCGACAUUCUAUUAUGUAUUCAUCUUUGGUGAACUUAUCCAAUGAGAAACUUGAAGAUUCUUUGGAAACUUAAAAUGCUGACACAAAAUCAUAAAAGUUAUAGAUGUUUUGCUGAAAAAGGAAGAAAUUCAUUAAGGAUUGAACAGUUUUUCUACCUCUCUGAUUUGGCCUCUGUCAUCUAUACAGGAUAUUCCUUUAACAAAAUAACAUAAAAUUUGAGAUCAUAAUUUUCAAAUAUUUGCAUAAGUUAGAAAGGAAGUUCAGUUAAGAAGUUAGGAUGUAUAAGAAGUUCAACUAUAAAUAUAAUGGAC